rnacentral:rRNA from 1 species
CCUACGGGUGGCAGCAGUGGGGGAUAUUGCACAAUGGGGGAAACCCUGAUGCAGCGACGCCGCGUGUGGGAAGACGGUCCUCUGGAUUGUAAACCCCUGUCAUGUGGGAGCAAAUUAAAAAGAUAGUACCACAAGAGGAAGAGACGGCUAACUCUGUGCCAGCAGCCGCGGUAAUACAGAGGUCUCAAGCGUUGUUCGGAAUCACUGGGCGUAAAGCGUGCGUAGGCUGUUUCGUAAGUCGUGUGUGAAAGGCGCGGGCUCAACCCGCGGACGGCACAUGAUACUGCGAGACUAGAGUAAUGGAGGGGGAACCGGAAUUCUCGGUGUAGCAGUGAAAUGCGUAGAUAUCGAGAGGAACACUCGUGGCGAAGGCGGGUUCCUGGACAUUAACUGACGCUGAGGCACGAAGGCCAGGGGAGCGAAAGGGAUUAGAUACCCUAGUAGUC